AUUCCCCUAGUAACGGCGAGUGAAGAGGGAAAAGCCCAGCACCGAAGCCUGCGGCAGUUUUGCUGUUAGGCAAUGUGGUGUUUGGGUCGGCUCGUGGGAUUGCCACUCCACUCGAAGUCCAGCAUUGAGUAUGGUUACUGGAUUCGGCCCAGAGAGGGUGAAAGGCCCGUACGGGUGGAGGUUCAGACAUGUGAGGCGAUCCCCCAGGUCGACCUUAGAGUCGGGUUGUUUGAGAAUGCAGCCCAAAGUGGGUGGUAAACUCCAUCCAAGGCUAAAUACAGACACGAGUCCGAUAGCGAACAAGUACCGUGAGGGAAAGUUGAAAAGUACUCUGAAGAGAGAGUAAACAGUACGUGAAACCGCAUGCAGGUAAACGGGUGGCGUCAAGCUGCAAGCCCAGAGGAUUCAGCCGAUUAGGAUGUAGUGUAUGCGCCUGGCGCAUCUAUCAGCCAGAGUAUGAUUGGAUAGUCCACUGGUAGACGGUGGGCCCGACUUCCCUUGCGGUAGUUGGGAUGUGUGUACCGGGUGGGUGCCGGAGCAUGCUAUCUGUCUGGGGGCUGUCUAGUCGGUGCACUUUCUCUGUGGUGAACACCACGACCGGUGGUAUUGCCAGUCUGCUGUGCCCAAGUUGUGCUCGGUUGGUCCUUGUGGCUAACUGGGUGCAGCGAUCACAAGCAAAUUCAGUAAACGGCGUAGAGGUGUUUCGGCAUUUCUGCGUGUUAUCGGCAACUGGUUGUGAACGGGCCUGCUCGGUGCUUGUUGUAGUCGGCAUCGAGUGGCUCGGUGGGGCAUGGUGGUAAGAAUAACUGUGCAAGGCACCGGUGUUGUCGGCCUCAAAUGCAUUCUGCGCCCAGGCUACAAAUGGCUGGAUGGUGGCGCCGUUGCUGUCUGCCCGGUGUUGGGUCUGAUCGUCGUGUUGUCUGCGCAAAGUGGACCCGGCGGUGGCUCGACUCGGGAUGGGCAGCGGACGGUGUUGCCAGUGCAGGGUGCUGUGGGCCUAAUAGUCAGUGG
rnacentral:rRNA from 1 species